CCAACAUAGAUGUCCUGGCAGGCUGCUCUCCCCAGGCUUUGUCCAGGUGGCUCUGCCCCGUGAUGUGCAGUCCCUUCCCACAGCGUUGGAGAUGAAGCUGGGCCUCUGAGUCUGCACCUGCAUAUUUCUACAGCUUCUCAGAGUCCCAGAGAUCAUGACUGAGGAGACAAACCAUACAGGAAACAGUU
rnacentral:snoRNA from 1 species